UGGGCUCUUCGUGGGUUGGUAUUUAGAUUGUCCUAGGUGAUGGCUUUAUAAAUACUUUCGGUAGUGAAUUUUCCAUUACUAUUUAAUUUUCAGUAUGGAAAAUAUUCCCUGGUGGAUGAAGUGAGGGGUGUGUGGAGCUGAGGAUUAUUUGGAGGAUGUUUUCAGGGAUCUGGAUGGAAAGGAUGGAAAGGUUCUAAGCUACAUUGGACACCACAUCCUUCACUUUGAAACCAUCUUCAUAUAGGGUUAAUGGCCCAUGGAUGUGGCUCCUAAUAGGGUCAGUAUGAGGCAGCCAAGAGUCAUAAAAGCUGGCUUUAUCGCCUUGGUGAAUAGACCAUGCUAUGCCCCUUCUGCAGUCUCUCCACCCCCC
rnacentral:lncRNA from 1 species